rnacentral:tRNA from 1 species
CGCUUGCUUGGGGCCUUGGCUGUGGCCUUGCCAGCUUUGGCUGGCUGGUAGUCGGGCAGGAUUCGAUUCCCUGGGCAGACGCCAG